rnacentral:lncRNA from 1 species
AAUGAAACCACCAAAGUAGGAAUAUAGAAUACAGGAAUAAAAAUAUUCUAGAUGAACUAAAAAACUAAAAAAAGACCAAAACAAAACACAACACACAAAACAAAGCAAAACAGCAACAAAAAACACCCCACAAAACAACAGGUAGAAAAGAUGUAAGACAGAAAUAUACAAUCACUUUAAUCACAGAGUUAUAAAAAAUGUGUUUCUGAAGUGUAAAAAAUACAAUUCUGACCAUGAAAGAAAAUUUAUGAUGUACAGAAAAGAUGUCUGAUUUCUACCUUGAAAGUGUUCUGCGUAUUAUCAGACAAAGAAACAAAGACAGGAUUUCUGCAGUAAGUAUAACCAGACUACUCAUCCACUAGUAUCUUCUUUCUUUAUACAAUUUUUCUAACUGGGACUAUCAUGAGAGAAGAGCCAUUCAGUAUAUAAAUUAUACAGUAUCUGCAAUUUUAGAAGAUGUUAGUAAGAGGAAAGCUCUUAAUAACUUCUUAAUAUAAUUCUUAAGUUCACAGAAGUGGUAAAAGGUGGUAGAGAGAUAAAAUAUGUUCAAAAAACUCUCACAGAAAGAUUCCUUAAAGCUAAUCACUUUUUAUAUGGCUAAGACAUUUGUAAGCCAUCUGUUAAGUGCAAGAGUAAUAGCUUGCUUUUCCAGUUUGCCGCAGUAGUAACUCUAAGAGCCUAAAUAAAAAAAAAAAAAACCAUAGGGAAACCUCACAGAAUGUUAAAACUAAAUAAACUGCCUAAAAUAUGAGUGCUUGUAACAUAGGAGUGUCCCUUGUGUUAUACUAGCCAACGUUUUAGUAGAAAAAAUUUCAUUCAAUCAUCUACUGAAGAAAAUAGGCAAAUGAAAUACGAACCCUAACUUUUAACUGUUAAGACACACAAAGUUCAUAGAAUGAGCCAAGCAGGAAUAGCAUACCUCAAAAUUUUUCUGCAGAAAUUUGGGAAAUAAGAAUAAAGAAUUCAAACUAAGUUUAGCAAACAUAUUCCGUUCUUGCUGUGAGAAACAAGAAGAAGUUAAAUAGUGAUUGACUCCUUUGGGAAUGCAAAACUGGGCUGGCGAGCAGUAAGCAAAAAUGACUCUUCUACAGCUCAAUUUCACAUUUCCUCUCUCUUAG